AGGAGGGUUGGGUUUCCCAGGUUGUCUUUUGGGUUUCCAAGUCUGAGAAGUUGAAGGUAUUUUAAAAUGGUUUUUGGUUCAAGCUUCCUACCCAUGACCGACCGUGAACUUGUUAAAACAAUAGAUUUACACCCACAACCAAACCACAGCACAUGCAAAACUGUCCGUAGCUCGUCGGGUGGGUUCGGAUUAUACGGUUUGCCGGGUCUCCAGGUUAAAGAAGAACAAGUGCAACUUCAAAUGCAAUGGUAAAACCUUAGGUAAUUGAUAUAUUUGCAUCAGGAGUAAAACAGUUGUUUAAGUAGAUCAUAUAAUACCAUGUGAAAUGGUAGUAGAUAGGUAUUUGUCAAUCAUUUUGAUAAUGAGAAAUUUUGAAGACUUUUUUGAUGUGAUUUGUGUUAGUGGAAUGAUCAUUUGGUACUGGUAGUGAUAUCAAGAAAUUUAUCAAAGUGAUAAAUGUUGGGGAUAUUUUGGCUUU